rnacentral:rRNA from 1 species
GUGCCAGCAGCCGCGGUAAUACGUAGGGGGCGAGCGUUGUCCGGAUUUACUGGGCGUAAAGCGUCCGCAGGUGGUUACUCAAGUCCGGUGUGAAAGCCCUCCGCUCAACGGGGGGAGGUCAUCGGAGACUGGGUGACUGGAGGAUAGCAGAGGGGGAUGGAAUUCCCGGAGUAGUGGUGAUAUGCGUAGAGACCGGGAGGAACACCGGUGGCGAAGGCGAUCCCCUGGGCUACUCCUGACACUCAUGGACGAAAGCGUGGGGAGCGAACCGGAUUAGAUACCCUCGUAGUCC